rnacentral:rRNA from 1 species
UUGGAGGGCAAGUCUGGUGCCAGCAGCCGCGGUAAUUCCAGCUCCAAUAGCGCAUAUUAAAGUUGUUGCAGUUAAAAAGCUCGUAGUUGAAUUUCGGGAUCAAUUUGCUGGUCGUGCCUCUGGUACGUACUGGUAUUAUUGGUUUCUCCCUUCUGACGAACCAUGAUGUCAUUAAUUUGAUGUCGUGGAGAAUCAGGACUGUUACUUUGAAAAAAUUAGAGUGCUUAAAGCAGGCAUUAGCUUGAAUACAUUAGCAUGGAAUAAUGAAAUAGGACGUUUGAUCCUAUUUUGUUGGUUUCUAGGAUUGACGUAAUGAUUAAUAGGGAUAGUUGGGGCAUUAGUAUUCAAUUGUCAGAGGUGAAAUUCUUGGAUUUAUUGAAGACUAACUACUGCGAAAGCAUUUGCCAAGGAUGUUUUCAUUAAUCAAGAACGAAAGUUAGGGGAUCGAAGACGAUCAGAUACCGUCGUAGUCUUAACCAUAAACUAUGCCGACUAGGGAUCGG